rnacentral:rRNA from 1 species
GAUGAACGCUGGCGGCGUGCCUAAUACAUGCCAGUCGAGCGAACGGACGAGAAGCUUGCUUCUCUGAUGUUAGCGGCGGACGGGUGAGUAACACGUGGAUAACCUACCUAUAAGACUGGGGUAACUUCGGGAAACCGGAGCUAAUACCGGAUGAUAUUUUGAACCGCAUGGUUCAAAAGUGAAAGACGGUCUUGCUGUCACUUAUAGAUGGAUCCGCGCUGCAUUAGCUAGUUGGUAAGGUAACGGCUUACCAAGGCAACGAUGCAUAGCCGACCUGAGAGGGUGAUCGGCCACACUGGAACUGAGACACGGUCCAGACUCCUACGGGAGGCAGCAGUAGGGAAUCUUCCGCAAUGGGCGAAAGCCUGACGGAGCAACGCCGCGUGAGUGAUGAAGGUCUUCGGAUCGUAAAACUCUGUUAUUAGGGAAGAACAUAUGUGUAAGUAACUGUGCACAUCUUGACGGUACCUAAUCAGAAAGCCACGGCUAACUACGUG